GUGCUCACCUCGACAGCACAUAUACUAAAAUUAGGACAAUACAGAGAAGAUUAGCAUAGCUCCUGCACAAGGAUGACACGCAAAUUCUUGAACAAGUAUGCUACUCC